rnacentral:rRNA from 1 species
GACGAACGCUGGCGGCGUGCAUAACACAUGCAAGUCGAACGAUGAAGCUAGAGCUUGCUCUGGUGGAUUAGUGGCGAACGGGUGAGUAACACGUGAGUAACCUGCCCCGAACUCUGGGAUAACUGCUGGAAACGGUAGCUAACACCGGAUAUGACCAAUGAAGGCAUCUUCUGUUGGUGGAAAGAAUUUCGGUUCGGGAUGGACUCGCGGCCUAUCAGCUUGUUGGUGAGGUAACGGCUCACCAAGGCGACGACGGGUAGCCGGCCUGAGAGGGUGAUCGGCCACACUGGGACUGAGACACGGCCCGGACUCCUACGGGAGGCAGCAGUGGGGAAUAUUGCACAAUGGGCGCAAGCCUGAUGCAGCAACGCCGCGUGAGGGACGACGGCCUUCGGGUUGUAACCUCUUUUAGUAGGGAAGAAGCGAAAGUGACGGUACCUGCAGAAAAAGCACCGGCUAACUACGUGCCAGCCGCCGCCGUAA